ACCUGGAGCCCUCGCCGAUAACCGAUAGAUCAAUACUAGAGUGAAAUCAAAAAAGCAGGAGAAUUUUCAUAAGAGCUGGUGAAACAAAUCCAACGAACGAUUUGACCGUUACCGACAGAAGAAGAAGAAGAGCAGCAACCGCGACCAUGUCCAACUUGAGGAAAUUCAAAGACGAGGAGCGCGAGUCGGAGUAUGGCCGUGUCUACGCGGUAUCCGGACCAGUGGUCACGGCGGAGGCCAUGUCUGGAUCCGCUAUGUACGAGCUGGUCCGCGUGGGCUACUACGAGCUGGUGGGCGAGAUCAUCCGUCUGGAGGGCGACAUGGCCACCAUUCAGGUGUACGAAGAGACUUCGGGCGUCACCGUGGGCGAUCCGGUGCUGCGUACCGGCAAGCCACUCUCCGUGGAACUUGGACCCGGCAUCAUGGGCAGCAUCUUCGACGGCAUCCAACGACCUUUGAGGGACAUUGGUGUGAUGACCAACUCCAUCUAUAUACCCAAAGGUGUCAACACAACUGCUUUGUCGCGCUCCGAGAUGUGGGAAUUUAAUCCGCUAAAUGUGCGUGUGGGAUCCCACAUCACCGGAGGAGAUCUUUAUGGAGUGGUACACGAGAACACGCUGGUGAAGCAGCGCAUGAUUGUGGCACCCAGGGCCAAGGGAACCGUUCGAUACAUUGCCCCCGCGGGCAACUAUAACCUGGAAGACAUUGUCCUGGAGACGGAGUUCGAUGGCGAGAUCACCAAGCACACCAUGUUGCAGGUGUGGCCGGUGCGUCAGCCACGUCCCGUCACAGAGAAGCUGCCAGCCAACCAUCCGCUCUUCACGGGCCAACGCGUCCUUGACUCGCUCUUCCCCUGCGUCCAGGGCGGCACCACUGCCAUCCCCGGUGCCUUUGGCUGCGGCAAGACCGUCAUUUCGCAGGCCCUGUCCAAGUACUCCAACUCCGAUGUGAUCAUCUACGUCGGUUGUGGCGAACGUGGUAACGAGAUGUCUGAGGUACUGCGUGACUUCCCCGAACUGACCUGCGAGAUCGAUGGCGUCACCGAGUCCAUUAUGAAGCGAACUGCUCUGGUGGCCAACACCUCCAACAUGCCUGUGGCUGCUCGUGAGGCCUCCAUCUACACUGGUAUCACUCUGUCUGAAUACUUCCGUGAUAUGGGCUACAACGUAGCCAUGAUGGCUGAUUCAACCUCCCGUUGGGCUGAGGCACUUCGUGAGAUUUCGGGUCGUCUGGCUGAGAUGCCUGCCGAUUCCGGCUACCCUGCUUAUCUGGGUGCUCGUCUGGCCACAUUCUACGAACGUGCUGGGCGCGUCAAGUGCUUGGGUAACCCGGAGCGCGAGGGAUCCGUGUCCAUUGUCGGAGCUGUGUCUCCUCCCGGUGGUGACUUCUCCGAUCCCGUGACCUCCGCCACUCUGGGUAUCGUGCAGGUGUUCUGGGGUCUCGACAAGAAGCUGGCCCAGCGCAAGCACUUCCCCUCGAUCAACUGGCUCAUCUCCUACUCGAAGUACAUGCGUGCUCUGGAUGAAUACUACGACAAGAACUACCCCGAGUUCGUGCCACUGCGCACCAAGGUCAAGGAGAUCCUGCAGGAGGAGGAGGAUUUGUCCGAGAUCGUGCAGCUGGUGGGCAAGGCAUCGCUGGCCGAGACCGACAAGGUGACCCUGGAAGUGGCCAAGCUGCUGAAGGACGACUUUCUGCAACAGAACUCCUACUCACCAUACGAUCGCGUUUGUCCCUUUUACAAGACGGUGGGCAUGCUGAGAAACAUCAUGGCCUUCUAUGAGACCGCCCGGCAUGCCGUUGAGUCCACAGCCCAGUCGGACAACAAGAUCACAUGGAACACUAUCAGGGAAUCGAUGGGCGGAAUUAUGUACCAGCUGUCGUCGAUGAAGUUCAAGGACCCGGUGAAAGAUGGCGAGCAAAAGAUCAAGGCGGACUACGACCAGCUGUACGAGGAUCUGCAGCAGGCCUUCAGAAAUCUGGAGGACUAAGCGGAAACGGCCAGAAACCAACUGCGGGCUUUCCUAGCGAGAGGAAUGGAUAAAGAAGCAAACCAAACGAAAUAAGAAACCAAAGCUAGGUCUAGUCAGGUCAGAGUCGAAUCACCAGAAGAAGAUACGCAAAACGAAAGGAAAGACGAACAAUAAUUAGUCGGUAGCGCAAAUGGAACGCAGUUAAACCAGCCAUAUACAUAAAUACCAUACAUAUACGACACAUAUGUAUAAUUAUCUAUGUUGAUAUAUAAAUAUAAUUCACAGCUAUGUAUUGUUAGUAAAUUUUCAUAUAGUUAUCGAUUGUGUUCGUUACCCUAUUGUGUGAAACUAAACCAACUAAACGGCAAGUCUAAAGGGCGUUUGAAUCUUUACGAAAUUACAAAAUAUUAUAUUCCUACAUAUUAUAGACCUUUAAAGAACGCAAUAACAACGUAGCCCCAAAAGCAUGUACCUCUACUACCAAAGGAUAGCUAUUUCAGUAACUUGUGUGUGUUGCAAAUGGAGCUAUGGAAAUAAAAUGUAUUAUGAAUGUUA
rnacentral:misc_RNA from 1 species